rnacentral:rRNA from 1 species
GACGAACGCUGGCGGCGUGCUUAACACAUGCCAGUCGAACGGAAAGGCCCUGCUUUUGUGUGGUUCUCGAGUGGCGAACGGGUGAGUAACACGUGAGUAACCUGCCCUUGACUUUGGGAUAACUUCAGGAAACUGGUGCUAAUACCUGAUAGGAGCUCCUGCUGCAUGGUGGGGGUUGGACAGUUUCGGCGGUAGGGGAUAGACUCGCGGCUUAUCAGCUUGUUGGUGGGGUAGUGGCUUACCAAGGCUUUGACGGGUAGCCGGCCUGAGAGGGUGAACGGCCACAUUGGGACUGAGAUACGGCGCAGACUGCUACGGGAGGCAGCAGGGGGGAAUAUUGAACAAUGGGCGGAAGCCUGAGGCAGAAACGCCGCGUGCGGGAUGAAGGCCUUCGGGUUGUAAACCGCUUUAGCCUGUGACGAAGCGUGAGUGACGGUAAUGGGUAAAGAAGCACCGGCUAACUACGUG